CCAGAUUAUCGGCUAAUCGCCCCGCAUAUGCGGGGAGGAAAGUCCGGGCAGCGUAGGGAAAGACAGUCGCUAACGGCGACCGGGGGUAACCCUAGGGAAAGUGCCACAGAAACGAAACCGCCUCGCAUAUGCGAGGUAAGGAUGAAACGAGUGGGGUAAAAGCUCACAGUUCUAUACGGUGACGUAUGGGAGAGGUAAACCCUGUCUGCUGCAAGGAGAUGGACUCUCAUCGGCUAAACCGAUUGGUGUCCCGCCAGAGCCUAUCAUAGAAUCCGCUUGAUCCGUCGAGCAAUUGGCGGACUAGAUAGAUGAUUAGCAGCCCCGCAUAUACGGGGUGAACAGAACCCGGCUUACGGAUAAUCUGGUACU
rnacentral:RNase_P_RNA from 1 species